UGAAAGAAAACUCGGUGCUCUUGGUGCA
rnacentral:piRNA from 1 species